UGCGGGGUGGAGCAGCCUGGUAGCUCGUCAGGCUCAUAACCUGAAGGCCGUUGGUUCAAAUCCAACCCCCGCUACCA
rnacentral:tRNA from 1 species